rnacentral:misc_RNA from 1 species
GAUGAAGAACGCAGUGAAAUGCGAUAAGUAAUGUGAAUUGCAGAAUUCAGUGAAUCAUCGAAUCUUUGAACGCACAUUGCGCCCGCCAGCAUUCUGGCGGGCAUGCCUGUUCGAGCGUCAUUUCAACCCUCGAGCCCCCCCGGGGGCCUCGGUGUUGGGGGACGGCACACCAGCCGCCCCCGAAAUGCAGUGGCGACCCCGCCGCAGCCUCCCCUGCGUAGUAGCACACACCUCGCACCGGAGCGCGGAGGCGGUCACCCCGUAAAACGCCCAACUUUCUUAGAGUUGACCUCGGAUCAGGUAGGAAUACCCGCUGAACUUAAGCAUAUCAAUAAGCGGAGGA